rnacentral:rRNA from 1 species
UCUGACAGAGGUCGGUGGAAUUCGUAGUGUAGCGGUGAAAUGCAUAGAUAUUACGAAGAACACCAGUGGCGAAGGCGGCCGGCUGGGUCAGUAUUGACGCUGAGGCACGAGAGCGUGGGGAGCGAACAGGAUUAGAUACCCUGGUAGUCCACGCUGUAAACGAUGUAUGCUAGUUGUUGGGCCUAUGGGUUCAGUGACGCAGUUAACGCAGUAAGCAUACCACCUGGGGAGUACGUUCGCAAGAAUGAAACUCAAAGGAAUUGACGGGGGCCCGCACAAGCGGUGGAGCAUGUGGCUUAAUUCGAUGCAACGCGAAGAACCUUACCCGGGCUAAAUCCACGAUGACCGCUCCCGAAACGGAGCUUCCCUUCGGGGCAUCAUGGAAGGUGCUGCAUGGCUGUCGUCAGCUCGUGCCGUGAGGUGUUGCCUUAAGUGGCGCAACGAGCGCAACCCCUGUGGUUAGUUACCAGCACGUAAUGGUGGGGACUCUAGCCAGACUGCCUACGCAAGUAGUGAGGAAGGUGGGGACGACGUCAAGUCAUCAUGGCCCUUAUGUCCGGGGCUGCACACGUGUAACAAUGGAUGGUACAGAGGGAAGCUACCCAGCGAUGGGCUGCAGAUCUCGAAAGCCAUUCCCAGUUCGGAUUGGAGUCUGCAACUCGACUCCAUGAAGGUGGAAUCGCUAGUAAUCGCGUAUCAGCAAUGACGCGGUGAAUACGUUCCCGGGCCUUGUACACACCGUCCGUCAAGCGAUGGAAGUCAGGAGUACCUGAUGUCGGCGUGCCAACCCUUCGGGGAGGCAGCUGCCUAGGGUAAGCCUGGUAACUGGCGCUAAGUCGUAACAAGGUAGCCGUACCGGAAGGUGCGGCUGGAUCACCUCCU